AGUGAACGCUGGCGGUAGGCCUAACACAUGCAAGUCGAACGGCAGCACAGUAAGAGCUUGCUCUUACGGGUGGCGAGUGGCGGACGGGUGAGGAAUACAUCGGAAUCUACUUUUUCGUGGGGGAUAACGUAGGGAAACUUACGCUAAUACCGCAUACGACCUACGGGUGAAAGCAGGGGAUCUUCGGACCUUGCGCGAUUGAAUGAGCCGAUGUCGGAUUAGCUAGUUGGCGGGGUAAAGGCCCACCAAGGCGACGAUCCGUAGCUGGUCUGAGAGGAUGAUCAGCCACACUGGAACUGAGACACGGUCCAGACUCCUGCGGGAGGGCGCAGUGGGGAAUAUUGGACAAUGGGCGCAAGCCUGAUCCAGCCAUACCGAGUGGGUGAAGAAGGCCUUCGGGUUGUAAAGCCCUUUUGUUGGGAAAGAAAAGCAGCAGGUUAAUACCCCGCUGUUCUGACGGUACCCAAAGAAUAAGCACCGGCUAACUUCGUG
rnacentral:rRNA from 1 species